GCAUCUUUGAAUCUGCAUGUUAGCUAAACUUGGAAGGUCUUUAAUCCAGGAUUCCCACUGGGGUUUUAAGUGCUCUGGAAGCUCGUGGUCCCACCCAACCUUAUCCUUGCACAUUUGCUGAAGAAUCUGCUUUCCCAAGAGGACGAACGGUGCAAUAAACCCCAGGGGAUCGUAAAUGGAGGCGACAGUAGAAAGUAAACCUCUUCUUGUAAGGGGGUUCAACUUGACUUGAACUCUGAAUUUGAAUGUGUCUGAAGUGACGCACCAUUCAACUCCAAGAGCUCUUUCAAUGCGUGGUAAACUUAAAGACAGGUCAAGGUCUUUCACUGUGGCACACUCUUCUUCUGGAAUAGUGGACAUAACUCUCUCACUGUUGCACACAAAUUUGUGGAGUCUUAACUUUCCUUUGGAACAGAGCUCUCUUGAGUCUUUGAUGAGCUGAAUGGCUUCCCUUUCAGUAGGAACGCUUGCCAAACCGUCAUCAACAUAAAAGUUUCUCUGUAUAAAGUGUAUGGUGUUUUCUUUGAAUUGACCUUGUCCUUGGGCAGCAAGGUGUUUCAGGCCAAAGUUGGCACAGCCUGGAGAAGACGCUGCUCCAAAAAGAUGGACCUUCAUACGGUAAACUGAUGGUGAUGCUUCCAAAUCUCCCUUCUCCCACCAAAGAAACCUUAAGUAAUCCUGGUCUUCUUUUGUGACAUGGAACUGGUGAAACAUCCGCUCUAUAUCACACAUGAAUGCGACAGAAUUUCUGCGGAAACGACAAAGAACACCAACCAAUGCGUUUGUCAGGUCAGGACCGGUUAAGAGGUGGUCAUUGAGAGAAGCAUCAAAUACUACUCUGAUUCUUCCGGGUUUGUGUGGGUGAUAAACCCCAUGAUGUGGGAUAUACCAUGCAGGAGUGUUAUUCAACUCUUUGUCAGGGACUCUUUCAGCAUCUCCUCUUGAGAUGAUGUCAUCCAUGAAGUUUGUGUAAUCAUUGUAAUAUGAUUUGUCUUUCCUUAAUCUCCGUUCAAGACACUUUAGGCGAUGCAUUGCACAUAUUCUAUUGUCUGGUAAUUUGGGUCUUUCGUCACGAAACGGUAGUGGCAUCUCAUAGUGGCCGCUCUCAUUUUGUGUGAUGUUUUCUUUGAGUUUUGUGAGAAACUUUAAAUCUUCUUGUGAUACAGGGUUGCCCUCAAUGGCUCUUUCAGAGAAGUCUCCUUCAAGUGCUUUGAUAAUGUCCGAAGGGGUGAUGUCCUUUACUGUUGUCCUAUUGACAUAGUGGACUUUGUUCUGAAGCUUUAGAGAAGGCUUAAGCUCUGGGAUGACUUUCUUGACAAUAAUGCGAUGACUAAUUCCAAUUGCAUCUCCAUAGUUCAGGCAGUGAUUGGUUUGUCCAACUAUACUCCAACCAAGAUCGGUGCGCUGAGCGUAUGGCUCGCCUUCCUUGCCUGACACAAUCUCUCUCGGCAGAAGAGCUUGUGAGCAGUUGUAUCCGAUCAACAAUCCUACCUCGCAAUCUUGCAAAGGUGCGAUUUCUGAUUGAAGGUGUUCCAGAUGUGGCCAAGCUUUGGCUGUUUCAUUAGUUGGAAUGUGAGCUUUGUUAGCUGGAAUGAAUUCUCGUGUGUAUGUAGGAGGUAAAGUGAUUCUUUUGCUUGAGUAAAGGCCACGAACUUGAAGAUUUUGAAGUCUGUCGGACUGAACAACUGUAGUCUGGGAAGACAUAGUAGACAGCUCUAGUUUAACAGGUUCUUGGUUUGUCUCUAGUAACUUUGCAACUUCACUGAGAACAAAGGUUGUAUCGCUUUGCGAAUCCAGUAAGGCAUACACAAGAACUUCUUUGUGUUUUGUGGAAGAUGAAAGCCACACAGGAAUGAUUGCAGCUGUCUGUGUGUUAUUUUCUUGACUUGCAACUCGGUUAGUCGUAGCCAUGGCUGUAACUUGUUCUUGAACUCGGUCGCUUUGACUUGACCUUUCGUUGCUUGGAUUUGGAUUAGCUAUUGGUUGCCUUUGUUCUCCUUUGUCCUUAACUCUAUCUUCAUGAAGACAAGUCGGAUGCCCUUUACUGCACCUUUCACAAAUAUUGCGGUUGGUACAGCUCUUCGA
ensembl:lncRNA